rnacentral:misc_RNA from 1 species
AAGGAGUCCAACACAUAUGCGAGUGUUUGGGUGGCAAACCCGAGCGCGAAAUGAAAGUGAAUGUAGGUGGGAUCCUUCGGGUGCACCAUCGACCGGUCUGGAUUCUUUGGAUAGAUCUGAGUAAGAGCGUAUUUGUCGGGACCCGAAAGAUGGUGAACUAUGCCUGAAUAGGGUGAAGUCAGAGGAAACUCUGGUGGAAGCUCGUAGCGGUUCUGACGUGCAAAUCGAUCGUCAAAUUUGGGUAUAGGGGCGAAAGACUAAUCGAACCAUCUUGUAGCUGGUUCCCUC